UGGAUCCAGACUUUGAUUAUGGCUCAGGAUGAACGCUAGCUACAGGCUUAACACAUGCAAGUCGAGGGGCAUCAGGAAGAAAGCUUGCCUUCUUUGCUGGCGACCGGCGCACGGGUGAGUAACACGUAUCCAACCUGCCCUUUACUCGGGGAUAGCCUUUCGAAAGAAAGAUUAAUACCCGAUGGGAUAAUUAUUCCGCAUGGUUUGAUUAUUAAAGGAUUCCGGUAAAGGAUGGGGAUGCGUUCCAUUAGGUUGUUGGUGAGGUAACGGCUCACCAAGCCUUCGAUGGAUAGGGGUUCUGAGAGGAAGGUCCCCCACAUUGGAACUGAGACACGGUCCAAACUCCUACGGGAGGCAGCAGUGAGGAAUAUUGGUCAAUGGGCGCGAGCCUGAACCAGCCAAGUAGCGUGAAGGAUGACUGCCCUAUGGGUUGUAAACUUCUUUUAUAUUAGAAUAAAGUGCAGUAUGUAUACUGUUUUGUAUGUAUAAUAUGAAUAAGGAUCGGCUAACUCCGUGCCAGCAGCCGCGGUAAUACGGAGGAUCCGAGCGUUAUCCGGAUUUAUUGGGUUUAAAGGGAGCGUAGGUGGACUGGUAAGUCAGUUGUGAAAGUUUGCGGCUCAACCGUAAAAUUGCAGUUGAUACUGUCAGUCUUGAGUACAGUAGAGGUGGGCGGAAUUCGUGGUGUAGCGGUGAAAUGCUUAGAUAUCACGAAGAACUCCGAUUGCGAAGGCAGCUCACUGGACUGCAACUGACACUGAUGCUCGAAAGUGUGGGUAUCAAACAGGAUUAGAUACCCUGGUAGUCCACACAGUAAACGAUGAAUACUCGCUGUUUGCGAUAUACAGUAAGCGGCCAAGCGAAAGCAUUAAGUAUUCCACCUGGGGAGUACGCCGGCAACGGUGCAACUCAAAUGAAUUGACGGA
rnacentral:rRNA from 1 species